rnacentral:tRNA from 1 species
AUAUUUUAAAACAUUAUUGUUUUCUUAAUAUCUUCAAUAUUAAACUUUAAAUAUAAGCUAUUAAAAUA